rnacentral:misc_RNA from 1 species
GUGAAUCAUCGAAUUUUUGAACGCAAAUUGCACUCUCUUCGGAGAGUAUGCCUGUUUGAGGGUCAGUAUCAAUAAAAUCGUUGUUGCUUUUUUGUGACGUUCUGGCGAUUGGGCUACCUUUAACUUUCGGGAUUAAGAGGCUUAAAAUUUAACUUUUUUGCGCUCUUUUAGACGUACAUAAAUUUAUUUUAUCGUUUAUUCUUGUGCCAU